AGGCCAUGGUUAUUUCUGUGUUACCAUUUAUUUUGGUAUCCAGUUUAACAUUCUUUUUCGAUAUUCAGACUGACUUUCACCGUACCAGACGGAUUCUUCUUUCAAGACCACCUCUUUGCCGAUUCUGACAGACAUUGUUACUUCACUUCACUUCAGUGCAAAUUUUUGGGCUUUUAUUGUAUUCAAUCCCUUGAUACCUCGAAAGCACGAAAGCAGCUGCCAUCUUCUUUCCGGGUCUCCAGUUGAUUGAAUAGGGGCAGCUGUAAUACCCCAAAAUUUACC
rnacentral:lncRNA from 1 species